rnacentral:rRNA from 1 species
UACGUAGGGGGCUAGCGUUGUCCGGAAUUACUGGGCGUAAAGGGUUCGCAGGCGGAAAUGCAAGUCAGAUGUAAAAGGCAGUAGCUUAACUACUGUAAGCAUUUGAAACUGCAUAUCUUGAGAAGAGUAGAGGUUAGUGGAAUUUUUAGUGUAGCGGUGAAAUGCGUAGAGAUGAAAAAGAAUACCGGUGGCGAAGGCGACCUACUGGGAUCAGUCUGACGGUGAUGAGCGAAAGCGUGGGUAGCAAACAGG